rnacentral:rRNA from 1 species
ACUCGAGUGGCGAACGGGUGAGUAACACGUGGGUGAUCUGCCCUGCACUUCGGGAUAAGCCUGGGAAACUGGGUCUAAUACCGGAUAGGACGAUGGUUUGGAUGCCAUUGUGGAAAGUUUUUCGGUGUGGGAUGAGCUCGCGGCCUAUCAGCUUGUUGGUGGGGUAAUGGCCUACCAAGGCGUCGACGGGUAGCCGGCCUGAGAGGGUGUACGGCCACAUUGGGACUGAGAUACGGCCCAA